GGGAAAAGGAGGUAGGCUGGCAUGGAGAUGGUGAGAAGGGAUCACAUUUUAGAGACAAUCUGAAGAUAAGGCUCACGAGACUUCCUUACAGCAUGGCUUGAAUAGGCGCUAGUUAUUUGUCCUGCAUGAAGAACAUAGAACCCUGUCCUUUUUCCAAUACAUACUGAAACCACAAGACAGCAAGAAGUGUCCAGAGGGUUCUCACACAUGCACACAACCAGCAGCUUCCGCUGAAGAUGAGCAGGGUGUGGAACGUGACUGCUGGUAGGAGUGUGUGCAGCAGCGCUGCUAUCUGUGGCAUGCAGCCCUUGGCACAGGAUCAAGGAAAUCCUUUCCCGGAGCACAUCUUCAGGAUCACACACUCUUGGAACGAAUGCGCUUACGCAUCACCUAGUUCCCCAAUUUUAUCUUGAUACAUGCUAUCCGUGAA